rnacentral:rRNA from 1 species
GACGAACGCUGGCGGCGUGCCUAAUACAUGCAAGUAGAACGCUGAAGAGAGGAGCUUACUCUUCUUGGAUGAGUUGCGAACGGGUGAGUAACGCGUAGGUAACCUGCCUUGUAGCGGGGGAUAACUAUUGGAAACGAUAGCUAAUACCGCAUAACAAUGGAUGACACAUGUCAUUUAUUUGAAAGGGGCAAUUGCUCCACUACAAGAUGGACCUGCGUUGUAUUAGCUAGUAGGUGAGGUAAUGGCUCACCUAGGCGACGAUACAUCGCCGACCUGGGAGGGUGAUCGGCCACACGAGGACUGAGACACGGCCCAGACUCCUACGGGAGGCAGCAGUAGGGAAUCUUCGGCAAUGGGGGCAACCCUGACCGAGCAACGCCGCGUGAGUGAAGAAGGUUUUCGGAUCGUAAAGCUCUGUUGUAAGUCAAGAACGGGUGUGAGAGUGGAAAGUUCACACUGUGACGGUAGCUUACCAGAAAGGGACGGCUAACUACGUG